UACGUAGGGUGCGAGCGUUGUCCGGAAUUACUGGGCGUAAAGAGCUCGUAGGUGGUUUGUCGCGUUGUCCGUGAAAACUCACAGCUUAACUGUGGGCGUGCGGGCGAUACGGGCAGGCUGGAGUACUGCAGGGGAGACUGGAAUUCCUGGUGUAGCGGUGGAAUGCGCAGAUAUCAGGAGGAACACCGGUGGCGAAGGCGGGUCUCUGGGCAGUAACUGACGCUGAGGAGCGAAAGCGUGGGGAGCGAACAGG
rnacentral:rRNA from 1 species